rnacentral:rRNA from 1 species
AGCCCAAGCUUAAAACCCAAAGGACUUGACGGUGUCCCACCCACCUAGAGGAGCCUGUUCUAUAAUCGAUUCCCCCCGAUCUACCUCACCACUUCUAGCCUAUCAGCCUGUAUACCUCCGUCGUAAGCUUACCAUAUGAACGUCUUCCAGUGAGCUAAAAGAUUAUACAUAAAUACGUCAGGUCAAGGUGCAGCCCACGAUGUGGAAAGAAAUGGGCUACAAUUUCUAUAUUAGAACACAACGAAAGACUACAUGCAACUCAGUCAUGAAGGCGGAUUUAGUAGUAAAAAGAAAGUAGAGAGUUCUUUUUAAUUAGGCGCUGGGACGCGUACACACCGCCCGUCACCCUCUUCAAACGCUUUAACUACGUUUAUAACACUUUUAUGCACCACAGAAGAGGUAAGUCGUAACACGGUAAGUGUACUGGAAAGUGCACUUGGAUAAA